AUGACGCGGUUAGCCAAUAUAAAUUUAAUUCCAAAAAUCUCUACUGUCAAAGGCUCCAAGUGCCAAGUAUGUGUGCAAGCUAAGCAACCUCGCAAGUCCCAUAAGACUGUAGAGGCAAGAGACUUGGCGCCACUUGAGCUUAUACAUUCUGAUCUUUGUGAGAUGAAUGGCGUGUUGACAAAAGGUGGAAAGAGAUACUUCAUGACGUUGAUUGAUGACUCCACUAGAUAUUGUUAUGUGUAUCUUCUGAAAUCAAAAGAUGAGGCUUUGACUUUCUUUAAAAACUAUAAAGCUGAGGCAGAGAACCAACUUGAUCGAAAAAUUAAAUGGCUUAGGUCCGAUCGUGGUGGAGAGUAUUUUUCCAAUGAAUUUGAUCUGUUUUGUGCGGAACAUGGUACAAUCCAUGAGAGGACGCCUCCCUAA
rnacentral:rRNA from 1 species